rnacentral:rRNA from 1 species
GCAAGCGUUGUUCGGAAUUACUGGGCGUAAAGGGCUCGUAGGCGGCCAACUAAGUCAGACGUGAAAUCCCUCGGCUUAACCGGGGAACUGCGUCUGAUACUGGAUGGCUUGAAUCCGGGAGAGGGAUGCGGAAUUCCAGGUGUAGCGGUGAAAUGCGUAGAUAUCUGGAGGAACACCGGUGGCGAAGGCGGCAUCCUGGACCGGCAUUGACGCUGAGGAGCGAAAGCCAGGGGAGCAAACGGG